AAAAACUAGUUAAAAUUUU
rnacentral:tRNA from 1 species